GUGCUUGCAUCAUGAUUUACAUUUGAGUGAGUGGCGAACUGGUGAGUAACACGUGGGAAACCUGCCCAGAAGCGGGGGAUAACACCUGGAAACAGAUGCUAAUACCGCAUAACAACUUGGACCGCAUGGUCCGAGCUUGAAAGAUGGCUUCGGCUAUCACUUUUGGAUGGUCCCGCGGCGUAUUAGCUAGAUGGUGGGGUAACGGCUCACCAUGGCAAUGAUACGUAGCCGACCUGAGAGGGUAAUCGGCCACAUUGGGACUGAGACACGGCCCAAACUCCUACGGGAGGCAGCAGUAGGGAAUCUUCCACAAUGGACGAAAGUCUGAUGGAGCAACGCCGCGUGAGUGAAGAAGGGUUUCGGCUCGUAAAACUCUGUUGUUAAAGAAGAACAUAUCUGAGAGUAACUGUUCAGGUAUUGACGGUAUUUAACCAGAAAGCCACGGCUAACUACGUGCCAGCAGCCGCGGUAAUACGUAGGUGGCAAGCGUUGUCCGGAUUUAUUGGGCGUAAAGCGAGCGCAGGCGGUUUUUUAAGUCUGAUGUGAUAGCCUUCGGCUCAACCGAAGAAGUGCAUCGGAAACUGGGAAACUUGAGUGCAGAAGAGGACAGUGGAACUCCAUGUGUAGCGGUGAAAUGCGUAGAUAUAUGGAAGAACAUCAGUGGCGAAGGCGGCUGUCUGGUCUGUAACUGACGCUGAGGCUCGAAAGUAUGGGUAGCAAACAGGAUUAGAUACCCUGGUAGUCCAUACCGUAAUCGAUGAAUGCUAAGUGUUGGAGGGUUUCCGCCCUUCAGUGCUGCAGCUAACGCAUUAAGCAUUCCGCCUGGGGAGUACGGCCGCAAGGCUGAAACUCAAAGGAAUUGACGGGGGCCCGCACAAGCGGUGGAGCAUGUGGUUUAAUUCGAAGCUACGCGAAGAACCUUACCAGGUCUUGACAUACUAUGCAAAUCUAAGAGAUUAGACGUUCCCUUCGGGGACAUGGAUACAGGUGGUGCAUGGUUGUCGUCAGCUCGUGUCGUGAGAUGUUGGGUUAAGUCCCGCAACGAGCGCAACCCAUUAUUAUCAGUUGCCAGCAUUAAGUUGGGCACUCUGGUGAGACUGCCGGUGACAAACCGGAGGAAGGUGGGGAUGACGUCAAAUCAUCAUGCCCCUUAUGACCUGGGCUACACACGUGCUACAAUGGAUGGUACAACGAGUUGCGAACUCGCGAGAGUAAGCUAAUCUCUUAAAGCCAUUCUCAGUUCGGAUUGUAGGCUGCAACUCGCCUACAUGAAGUCGGAAUCGCUAGUAAUCG
rnacentral:rRNA from 1 species